rnacentral:tRNA from 1 species
GCGGGAGUGGUGGAAUUGGUAGACACGCAGGAUUUAGGUUCCUGUGCCUUCGGGCGUGUGGGUUCAAGUCCCAUCUUCCGCA